AGAUCGAAUUGUAAACUUUAGAGUCGUUGUCCAGACCAGCCGAGUAAAUAAGUUCCUUGGAAUAGGACAUCAUGGAGGGUGAGAAUCCCGUCUUUGGCUUGAGCAUUGGUCUUUUGUGAUGCGACUUUCAACGAGUCAGGUUGUUUGGGAAUGCAGCCUUAAUUGGGUGGUAAAUCUCACCUAAAGCUAAAUAUUGGCGAGAGACCGAUAGCGAACAAGUACCGUGAGGGAAAGAUGAAAAGAACUUUGAAAAGAGAGUUAAACAGUAUGUGAAAUUGCUAAAAGGGAACCGUUUGAAGUCAGUCUGGCUGGUCUGCAAUCAGCUUCAACUUUGGUUGGAGUGCACUUGUAGGCCAUUUUGCCUGCCAACAACAGUUUGUUCUGCAGCAAAAAGGUGUUGAGAAUGUAGCUUUCUCUUCGGAGGAAGUGUUAUAGCUCUUCGCGAAAUACUGUGGUUCAGACUGAGGCUUGCAGUGAAUGCUAUUUUGGCUUUGGGGAUGGAUUGCUCAGUGCUUUGCUUGG
rnacentral:rRNA from 1 species